rnacentral:rRNA from 1 species
AGAGGUGAAACGAAUUUCGCCUGAGGAUGAGCCCGCGUCUGAUUAGCUAGUUGGUGGGGUAAGAGCCCACCAAGGCUACGAUCAGUAGCUGGUCUGAGAGGAUGAUCAGCCACACUGGGACUGAGACACGGCCCAGACUCCUACGGGAGGCAGCAGUGGGGAAUUUUCCGCAAUGGGCGAAAGCCUGACGGAGCAACGCCGCGUGAGGGAUGAAGGCCUCUGGGCUGUAAACCUCUUUUCUCAAGGAAGAAGACAUGACGGUACUUGAGGAAUAAGCCACGGCUAAUUCCGUGCUAGCAGCCGCGGUAAUACGGGAGUGGCAAGCGUUAUCCGGAAUUAUUGGGCGUAAAGCGUCCGCAGGCGGCUCUGUAAGUCUGUUGUUAAAGCGUGGAGCUCAACUCCAUUGCAGCAAUGGAAACUACAGGGCUUGAGUGUGGUAGGGGCAGAGGGAAUUCCCGGUGUAGCGGUGAAAUGCGUAGAUAUCGGGAAGAACACCAGUGGCGAAGGCGCUCUGCUGGGCCAUAACUGACGCUCAUGGACGAAAGCCAGGGGAGCGAAAGGGAUUAGAUACCCCUGUAGUCCUGGCCGUAAACGAUGAACACUAGGUGUCGGGGGAAUCGACCCCCUCGGUGUCGUAGCCAACGCGUUAAGUGUUCCGCCUGGGGAGUACGCACGCAAGUGUGAAACUCAAAGGAAUUGACGGGGGCCCGCACAAGCGGUGGAGUAUGUAGUUUAAUUCGAUGCAACGCGAAGAACCUUACCAGGGUUUGACAUCCUGCGAAUCCCUUGGAAACUUGGGAGUGCCUUCGGGAGCGCAGAGACAGGUGGUGCAUGGCUGUCGUCAGCUCGUGUCGUGAGAUGUUGGGUUAAGUCCCGCAACGAGCGCAACCCACGUCUUUAGUUGCCAGCAUUCAGUUGGGCACUCUAGAGAGACCGCCGGUGAUAAACCGGAGGAAGGUGUGGAUGACGUCAAGUCAUCAUGCCCCUUACAUCCUGGGCUACACACGUACUACAAUGCUACGGACAGAGGGCAGCAAGCUCGCGAGAGUUAGCAAAUCCCAUAAACCGUGGCUCAGUUCAGAUCGUAGGCUGCAACUCGCCUACGUGAAGGAGGAAUCGCUAGUAAUCGCAGGUCAGCAUACUGCGGUGAAUACGUUCCCGGGCCUUGUACACACCGCCCGUCACACCAUGGAAGUUGGCCAUGCCCGAAGUCG